UCUGAGAAGGUCACACAGAAGAG
rnacentral:piRNA from 1 species